rnacentral:rRNA from 1 species
CCUACGGGGGGCAGCAGUGAGGAAUAUUGGUCAAUGGACGAGAGUCUGAACCAGCCAAGCAGCGUGAAGGAUGACUGUCCUAUGGAUUGUAAACUUCUUUUAUAUGGGAAUAAAGUGUUCCACGUGUGCGCUUUUGUAUGUACCAUAUGAAUAAGGAUCGGCUAACUCCGUGCCAGCAGCCGCGGUAAUACGGAGGAUCCGAGCGUUAUCCGGAUUUAUUGGGUUUAAAGGGAGCGUAGGUGGAUUGUUAAGUCAGUUGUGAAAGUUUGGGGCUCAACCGGAAAAUUGCAGUUGAAACUGGCAGUCUUGAGUACAGGAGAGGUGGGCGGAAUGCGUGGUGUAGCGGUGAAAUGCAUAGAUAUCACGAAGAACGCCGAUUGCGAAGGCAGCUCACUGGA